CCCUGGCUGGCUCAGUUGGUGGAGCAUGUGACUUUUGAUCUCCUGGUUGUGAGUUCAAUCCCCAUGUUGGGUA
rnacentral:tRNA from 1 species